rnacentral:rRNA from 1 species
ACGAACGCUGGCGGCGUGCCUAAUACAUGCAAGUCGAACGGCUUUUCUAUGGAAGCUUGCUUCCACUGAAAAGAUAGUGGCGAACGGGUGAGUAACACGUGGGGUAACCUGCCCAUAAGAGGGGGGAGUAACAUCCGGAAACGGGUGCUAAUACCGCAUAGUUUUCUUGAUCGCAUGAUCGGAAGGAAAGACGGCCUUUGUGCUGUCGCUUAUGGAUGGACCCGCGGCGUAUUAGUUAGUUGGUGAGGUAACGGCUCACCAAGACGAUGAUACGUAGCCGACCUGAGAGGGUGAUCGGCCACAUUGGGACUGAGACACGGCCCAAACUCCUACGGGAGGCAGCAGUAGGGAAUCUUCCGCAAUGGACGAAAGUCUGACGGAGGCAACGCCGCGUGAGUGAAGAAAAGGUUUUCGGAUCGUAAAACUCUGUUGUCAGAGAAGAACAAGUUGGAGAGUAACUGCUCCAGCCUUGACGGUAUCUGACCAGAAAGCCACGGCUAACUACGUGCCAGCAGCCGC